rnacentral:rRNA from 1 species
AACGAACGCUGGCGGCAUGCCUUACACAUGCAAGUCGAACGGCAGCGCGGGGCAACCUGGCGGCGAGUGGCGAACGGGUGAGUAAUAUAUCGGAACAUACCCUAGAGUGGGGGAUAACGUAGCGAAAGUUACGCUAAUACCGCAUACGCACUAAGGUGGAAAGUGGGGGAUUCGCAAGAACCUCAUGCUCAUGGAGUGGCCGAUAUCUGAUUAGCUAGUUGGUGAGGUAAAGGCUCACCAAGGCGACGAUCAGUAGCUGGUUUGAGAGAACGACCAGCCACACUGGGACUGAGACACGGCCCAGACUCCUACGGGAGGCAGCAGUUGGGAAUCUUGGACAAUGGGGGAAACCCUGAUCCAGCCAUGCCGCGUGAGUGGUGAAGGCCUUCGGGUUGUAAAACUCUUUCGACGGGGACGAUAAUGACGGUACCCGUAGAAGAAGCUCCGGCUAACUUCGUGCCAGCAGCCGCGGUAA